rnacentral:rRNA from 1 species
GCUUAACACAUGCAAGUCGUACGGAGUUUACUUAACAGAUUUCUUCGGAAUGAUGUUUUUUAAACUUAGUGGCGGACGGGUGAGUAACGCGUGGGUAACCUGCCUUACACAGGGGGAUAGCAGUUGGAAACGACUGGUAAUACCGCAUACCUUACAUUAUUCGCAUGUUUGAUGUAAGAAAGAUUUUAUCGGUGUAAGAUGGACCCGCGUCUGAUUAGCUAGUUGGUGUGGUAACGGCAUACCAAGGCGACGAUCAGUAGCCGGCCUGAGAGGGUGAACGGCCACAUUGGGACUGAGAUACGGCCCAGACUCCUACGGGAGGCAGCAGUGGGGAAUAUUGCACAAUGGAGGCAACUCUGAUGCAGCGACGCCGCGUGAGUGAAGAAGUAUUUCGGUAUGUAAAGCUCUAUCAGUAGGGAAGAUAAUGACGGUACCUACAGAAGAAGCCCCGGCUAAAUACGUGCCAGCCGCCGCCGUAA